rnacentral:rRNA from 1 species
UGCAUUCAUAGUGAAUCAUCGAGUUCUUGAACGCAUCUUGCGCCUAGUAGUCAAUCUACUAGGCACAGUUGUUUCAGUAUCUGCAUCCACCAAUCAACUUAACCUUUUGUGUUGAGUUGGAACUGGGCUUCUAGUUGAUGGCAUUUAGUUGCUGUCAUGGCCUUAAAUCAAUGUCCUAGGUGUUAGAACAUCUAACACCGGAUGGAAACUUUAGAGCGCUUUAAGAGCAGCUUGGUUAGUGAGUUCAAUAAUUCCAAGCAUUAAGUCUUUUAAUGAACUAGCUUUUCUAUCUAUGGGACACUACUUGGAGAAAUCCAAGUAACCUUUAAACUCACAUUUAGAUCUGAAAUCAACUGAGACCACCCGCUGAACUUAAGCAUAUCAAUAAGCGGAGGAAAAGAAAAUAACCAUGAUUCCCCUAGUAACGGCGAGUGAAGAGGGAAAAGCUCAAAGUUGGAACCUGGCUGUCUUAGAUAGUCCGGAUUGUAAACUAAAGAGCGUGAAUCCAGGCAAGCCGGUUGAUCAAGUCCUUUGGAAUGAGGCGCCACUGAGGGUGAGAGCCCCGUAAAUCGACUGAGCA